rnacentral:misc_RNA from 1 species
ACACACACACACACACACACUUUACAUAUAUCUAUGUAUGUUCAACGCAAAGAAAACCCUCAAAGCCAAAAAAAAGCCAACUCUAUGGAUUAGGGUCUCCAGGGAAAGAAGGAUACAUAAACACUCAAACAGGCAUAACAUAAUCAACCUUGAUCAGCUCUUCCUGCAUUUCUAGGAACUCCAACUUUCUUCUCCUUUCUGAGACUGAAUCUUCAGAUGGCAAAGCUGUAACUCCAACAGUGUCCACGACUUCAUCUGGAAGAGAUGAAAGUGUAGCCUGAACAGCUUCUUCUGGCUUAACUUUUCCAGAAAUAGAGAAGGCUCUGGAAAGGUCAAUAAAGAUAAAAAUUUAGAUAUGCUCCUAUGUCUUGAGAUGAAAAUGAACAUGUUAAGUAUUAAGUUACCUAGACAAAAUCAACAGAGAAGAUGGAACAGAAUGAUUCAGAGACAAAUCCAGCCAAUCACGCAGCUGCAAAGAGAAAUUAUUACUUGCAUGCCAGGACAACAUGAAGCCCUUCCUCUACCCACUAUGAGGAACACAAUAUAUCAAUCACUGCAAACCAUUGAAUUUGCUUUCUUUGGGCAUAGCAUCUUAGAAUCACAGUAAUGAGAUUCACUACCAAUAUGUCGGUAUGACCUUAAUGCGAGGCUGCUGCAUGAUGCUAGAAAUUUUAUAACCAUGAAAUUCUAUAUUUUACAGUGCUCCUUUUGCUACAAGAUAUCAAAUUGUUCUCUAUUGCCCAAUAGUAGCUUGGCUUGACACACUGGAAAUUAUCUUGUUAACCACUUAAUACUGAGUUACAAAGUAAGAGUACACUCAUGGAAAAAUUUAGUUGCCUUGAAAAAUGGAUUGACCUUUUAUUCUGAGACAACUUUACAAUCAUAAUGUCACUUUUUGUCCUUUUCUGGUAAAACAAAACUGCACAAGUCUUCUGUUAAAUCUAAGAAAGUUAUAAAAUAUACAAUUAAGCAUUAAUAACCACUAACCUGUUGCCGCAUUUCUUCAACAGAAAGCAAUCCAAGUAACCCUCGAUCUCUACAAGCGUGACGAAGCUCAGGUUCUGAAAGGGACUCCACGCCCUCAGCUUGAAUCAUCUUAUCAUCAUUCUUAAUCCUGCCAAAGCAGUUUAUAAAUUCUAUGAAGCAAAAAUUUAAUCAAUCAUUCAAAAUUUCAUGGAAUUGAUUUUUUCUGUCUUUUGCCACAUCUUUGAACUAUUAAAAUGCGACAAAAUUUUUUUUAGCUGAGAUGUAAAAGUUUAAUCAAUCACUCCAUUUUCAUGUUUGGGAUUAGGGGUUAAUUGAGAUGGGCUGAUGUCUCCAUCUUCAUAAGGCAUGAACAACCAGAUCAGCUGCAAAUAAAGAAAUUUUUUUAAUUAUUUAUGUAUGUCAUUAUUAACAUCUCUGAAUCAUUUAGAAAAUUCCGAAACAUGUUUAGUUGAGUGGUACAAAUUAAUUGAGUUGAAUAGAGUAGUAUACAUCAAACAUUUUAUACCAUUUGUUUGAAGCAAAAUUGCAAUACAUUAACCAUGUAAGACAAGUGAAUACAGAUAAUUAGAUAUACUCCUCAUGUACUGUUUCACAUAAAAAAGAAACAUUUUACAUCGAAUGGAGGAUACUGAUGGCAAAUGGCUCCUUUGUUUUUGCAGCAUUUCACUUUCCAUUUGACUUCAAGAUAGAUGUGGUCAUCGUCAUCCAGUUGUUUUGUGUGGUUAUUUGUGACUAAAUAUCACCAAUAUAACCAAAUGUUCAGAAACAUUAGCAAGCACCAAAAGAAUAUAAAUCCACAAUCCAAAAACAAGUUUUCCUUAAAUCAAGAAGCUUUUAAAAAACCUUUGCAUCAUUUGUGCAGAAAAACAUUUCUGGUUAUAAGCCACUAUCCAUCACUCGGACAAAUUUUCUGUUUCACAACAUGAGUUGAAGACCCCGUGACCAAAAAGAGACAAUCAAAAGAGAAUUUAAAGAAAUUCAUCUUACUCUUGCAGUCUCCUCCGAAGCAUAAAACGUAGAUAUGCAUCUGUUCCAUAAGGGCUGAUACCCAUAUACUUGCACAUGUUUACUAGUCGAGGCCUGCUGACGUUAUCCAAGGUAAGCUCAUCAUUAAAUAACUUGGCAAAGCCUAAAAUUUCUUCAUUGGAAACACGUGCACCUGUUCUAACCUUGUUCAUAAAUUCGUCAAGAUCUUCAGCAGUUUUCUUAGUUUCUCCACUUCUUGAGUUCUGGACUUCUUUUGCCAUUUCUUUAACAGUGUCUUGAAGAAACUUGGCAUAUUCUAUUCUAGCAUUCAACUUCCUUUUCAGUGCCUCCUGUUCUUUCAUCUUGUCCUGGAAGGUUGACGGCAACAUGUUGGGAAACAAUUUUAGGAAUACUGGUAGCAAGAAUUCCAUGAAUGGAACUAUAAUAAAAACUGCAAAAGGAACUAGCCUAAAUAUAUCAGCUGUAGUGCGUGUAAGCUGUUGCCUUUCCCUUCUAGAAAGACCCUUCCCACUGGCAAGUUUCACCAGUAACCUCGAGCUUAUCCUAACAUCAGCCCACAGUAGCUUUGUACCCAACCAAUAGUGUUGCAUCGUGGACUUAAACUCAUCCCUCCAAUGGCGAAACUUCUUAGCCCAGUCAUCCCUGCUCAUUGAAGCAACAGCUUUCAAUGCGGGACCAAUGCCCAAAAGCAUAGCCCAUAUUCUUUGCAUUAUUGAUUUAGAAAUCUUUUGUGAUUCUUGCACCUGCUUAGCUUUUGCCUUGGCCUUCACCUCACUUAAAUCUUCAACAGCUUCAUCACACUCCUCUGGUGAAGCUUCCUUCACCUGCUUGGCAACUUGUUGUUCAUUUCUGUCAUUACCACUGCCAAAUUUAGGUUGACCAGCUGUGGCAGUUGAAGAAAAACGAACAGACUGUGAAAACCACCUAAUUCCUAAAGAAGAAUCAAAAUCUGCCUUUCCAAUCCUGUAACCCAAAUUUGAAGAUCCAAUAAAAUUAUGCCUAAGAUAAGCUGCUGCUAAAUGAGUUAAAGUUUCAUCCCUAAGAACUGAAUAUAAAUCCCCUUCAUAUCUACUAUAAUUCUUUUCAGACGGGUGACUAACAAUCCAUCUUGAUCUUUCCAAGCCACUUGAUUGGGGAGGCUGCCCAUGCUCAAAACUUGAAAAGCUCCUAACCAAGCAAACUGGUUGAUUCAGGGAACUGAAGAGGGAUCUCUUCCUCCCCAAGAUUGCUCUUGAUGCCAUUAUUAUAAAUUUCAGUCUCUAAAAAGAGGAGAAUAGUGACAUAUCUGAUGCACCCACAAGACUGAGCCAGCCUCCGCUGAAAGCUCCAAUCUACAAAGAGAGAGAGAGAGAAAGAAGUGAUUUGUUUGCUCGAGGUUAUGGCGAGCGAAAGUGGUAACCGAGUCAGUCAGAGGGGGAGAGAAGAGGCUGGGCGUGUCCUUCCUUGGCAAAUGGAAAAAAUGUUCACGUAUGCGGCAGCGAGCAAAGAGAGGACUGGGGACUAUGGUUAUGAAC